rnacentral:lncRNA from 10 species
ACACAUAACAGAUCCAGCUCAGACUCCUGUGCUCCUUGAUAGGCACAUUUCCUCCUGGUCAGCAGAUCUUUCUGGGAGGUGCAGCCAGGUGGACCAUCCUCAUGGCCGGUGGCAUCCCCUGAGCCUCCAGCUGUACUCUAAGCCUGAUUCUUCCAACCAUGGCCCUCAUAUUGAAUUCACCAUCCUCUCUCAUCCUGCAUUUAAGCCCUGCAACGGGCUAGCUUGUGUCUUCCCAAAAUCUAUAUGUGGAAGUCCUAACACCCAGUACCUCAAAAUGGGACUGUGUUUGGACACAGGGCCUUUAAGGAGGUGAUCAAGGCAAAUGAGGUCAUAUGGGUGAGCCCUAAUACGAUAUGACUGCUGUUCCCAUAAGAAGAGAUUAGGACGCCGACAAGCACAGAGGAAAGACCACAUGAGGACGUGGGGAGAAGACGGCAUCUACAAGCCAAGGAGAGAGGCCUCAGAAGAAACUGGUCCUGCUGAUUUUGGCCUUCCAGCCCCCAGAACUGGAGGAAAAUAAAUUUCUGUUGCUUAAGUCA